rnacentral:rRNA from 1 species
UAAACUGAAGAGUUUGAUCAUGGCUCAGAUUGAACGCUGGCGGCAGGCCUAACACAUGCAAGUCGAGCGGUAACAGGUCCUUCGGGAUGCUGACGAGCGGCGGACGGGUGAGUAAUGCAUAGGAAUCUGCCCGGUAGUGGGGGAUAACCUGGGGAAACCCAGGCUAAUACCGCAUACGUCCUAC